rnacentral:rRNA from 1 species
UACGAAGGGAGCUAGCGUUGUUCGGAAUUACUGGGCGUAAAGCGCACGUAGGCGGACAUUUAAGACAGGGGUGAAAUCCCAGAGCUCAACUCUGGAACUGCCUUUGAUACUGGGUGUCUUGAGUAUGGAAGAGGUGAGUGGAAUUCCGAGUGUAGAGGUGAAAUUCGUAGAUAUUCGGAGGAACACCAGUGGCGAAGGCGGCUCACUGGUCCAUUACUGACGCUGAGGUGCGAAAGCGUGGGGAGCAAACAGG